rnacentral:rRNA from 1 species
GACGAACGCUGGCGGCGUGCUUAACACAUGCAAGUCGAACGGAAAGGCCCUGCUUUUGUGGGGUGCUCGAGUGGCGAACGGGUGAGUAACACGUGAGUAACCUGCCCUUGACUUUGGGAUAACUUCAGGAAACUGGGGCUAAUACCGGAUAGGAGCUCCUGCUGCAUGGUGGGGGUUGGAAAGUUUCGGCGGUUGGGGAUGGACUCGCGGCUUAGCAGCUUGUUGGUGGGGUGGUGGCUUACCAAGGCUUUGACGGGUAGCCGGCCGGAGAGGGUGACCGGCCCACGGGGCAGAGUGCUACGGCAGGCACCAGUGGGGAAGAUAGGAGAGUGGGUGAGGGCCUGAUGGCGGCAUCCCGCGUGAAGCAUGCCGGUGCUCUGGAUUGCGGCCUUCUUUUGUAAACCGGUUUACCUAUGCUCGUGAGGGUGGGUGACGGUACUGGACAAAUAAGCACCGGCUAACUCCGUG